GAUGAAGAACGCAGCGAAAUGCGAUAAGUAAUGUGAAUUGCAGAGUUCAGUGAAUCAUCGAAUCUUUGAACGCACAUUGCGCCCGUCAGUAUUCUGACGGGCAUGCCUGUUCGAGCGUCAUUACAACCCUCAGGCCCCCGGGCCUGGCGUUGGGGAUCGGCGGAGCCCCCCGUGGGCACACGCCGUCCCCCAAAUGCAGUGGCGGUCCCGCCGCAGCUUCCAUCGCGUAGUAGCUAACACCUCGCGACUGGAGAGCGGCGCGGCCACGCCGUAAAACACCCAACUCUUCUGAAGUUGACCUCGAAUCAGGUAGGAAUACCCGCUGAACUUAAGCAUAUCAAUAAGCGGAGGA
rnacentral:misc_RNA from 1 species